rnacentral:lncRNA from 1 species
AGGGCCAAGAUCAGAUGUGCUACAGCCCCAUGGAGCCUGCCCGUCCCGAUCACUGCCCUAUCCCGCUUUAGCUGGAUGUGCUUCAGACUUUGUGGCAGCUAGAUACCAUGACUGUCACUGGAGACUGGCUUCUCCUACAAAGAAAGGCAAAGCAUUUGAUGAAAACAGGUUAGUGGAACCCAACACACAGUGGUUCUCUUUUUCUGUGAUCACAGAGGCACAGAACAUGGCUGCUGUCCUUCAGUGUCCUGCCACUGUAAACAGGAAGAACCUACAGAGGUGCAAACCUGAAUACACAACAGUUCUGCCCACCGACACCUGCAGCAGGGCAAAGCCAGGCUUUCCUGAAGACUCAAUGGAAUGUCUACAUGCCUAUCUAGUGUGAAAUCUCUCUGCAGAGUUACCAAAGCGACAAGGUAAGGCCAGGCACAGCUUCACAACAUGGACUGACACAGGAUGUAAGGAAGAAUGACGUGUGUGUGUAUGUGUGUAUGUGUGUGUGUGUGUGUGUGUGUGUGUAACUGUCUGAACACUAAAUAUAUAUCUCAUUAAAAACGAAAGCCUGAACUAAUCUACUCCUCCACUCCAAUACAAGAUUAAAAUGAAAAGAGCACUUCUUGGGAUAUGAUGGUUUCAUUACUCAUAUACUCCAUGUGUCUUUGCAGUUAGGCAGGACUCACAGACCAGUGGAAGAAACAGUGUGGCCAGGGCUCAAACCAUUUGGCAAAACCUAAGAGAUGUAUAUGCUGAUGUGUAAGUUAAUGUGUGCCUGUGGCUCUGAUACCUAAUGUAUUCCUCUAUGCUGUGAUUGUUAUUAUUUGAGACAGGAUCUCACUCUAUAGCCCAGGGUUGACCUGGAACUCACUAUGCAGCCAAGGCUGGCCUUGCAGGUGUGAGCCAACAUACCCAGCCUUUUCUCUGUAUCAUUCAGAAAAUGACAUAAAACUACCUCAAGUUGGCAUGCUCAAGAACAAGAGGAGUAACCAUGAUUCCUAGUUCCUAUUCAGAUGGUUCCAGACACUCCACCAAGCACAGGUUAAUCAGUGGUGAUAACUGACAGGAACAGCCAUUUCACUGUGCUUUGCACUAGGCGAUCAGAAGGUGUUCACAGGUUCUCCUUCCCUUAAUGGCUACAAAACAGCUGUGAAGUGCACUGUCCCUCCUUUUCAGAGGCUGCACUCGAGUCCACGGGACAAUAGGUUUUUGUUGUUGUGCUUUCCCACUGAGCUCCUACCCAGACCCAAGAACCAGGAUUAAUAAAUGAGGCCAUUUGCUUCUC